rnacentral:pre_miRNA from 1 species
UCUUAUAGAUGAGCGAAGAGGAUGGUUUCUUGAGAUGGAAUCUACUCCUGGUGAAGAUGCUGGGAA